GACGAACGCUGGCGGCGUGCUUAACACAUGCAAGUCGAACGGAAAGGCCCUGCUUUUGUGGGGUGCUCGAGUGGCGAACGGGUGAGUAACACGUGAGUAACCUGCCCUUUACUUUGUGAUAACUUCAGGAAACUGGGGCUAAUACCUGAUAUGAUCUCCUGCUGCAUGUUGGUGGUUGGAAAUUUUCGGCUGUUGGGGAUGGUCUCGCGGCUUAUCAGCUUGUUGUUUGGGUAGUGGCUUACCAAGGCUUUGACGGGUAGCCGGCCUGAGAGGGUGACCGGCAAAAAUGGGACUGAGAUACGGACCAGACUGCAACGGGAGGCAGCAGUGGGGAAUAUUGCAAAAUGGGCGGAAGCCUGAUGCAGCAACGCCGCGUGCGGGAUGAAGGCCUUCGGGUUGUAAACCGAUUUCGCCUGUGACGAAGAGUGAGUGACGGUAAUGGGUAAAGAAGCACCGGCUAACUACGUG
rnacentral:rRNA from 1 species